UUUUAUAAACACCAGGUAGUUACAAACUCUAAGGAAUAACGAGCUUGUUAUUCUUAAUUUUGUCAUAUGAGCCGCCAUUUCAUUUAUGAGCAAAAAAUAAAAAUAAUAUAUAAUAAAUAAACGUAAGUAAUACCUUGUCAACAAACGGAUGCCAUGGCAACACCAGUUUUUCAAACUCCUUGAAAUUGUUAGAAAAAAACUCAUCAAAUUUAUGGCUUUGUCAGUUGUGUUACUGUUCAGCCAGUUGCUGUUCUUUGCAUUGAAAACUCCGAGGAUCACUUUAAUAGCCUGUGCUUGGUCCGUUGCUUUUUGAAUCUGAAUUUCGAAUAGGUCAAAGAAUAUGUCAUCUGCUGAAGGCGGGCGGUAUUAGCAAUUGAUUAAGAGACUGUUAUUGGCUUUCACACCAGAUAGAUUCUAUCUCGUCAUUCUCAAGAUCACCACGUCUUGUCGUGUACAGAGAAUCACUGACAUACAUCAUGACACCACCCCCAUGUCUAUCCCUGUCUAUCCGGUACACCUGGUAUCCUUCCAGUUCAAUAUCACGGUCAACAAUUUCACUACUGAGACAGGUUUCAUUUACGCAUAGAAUACUGAACUGCAUCGUAGAUGCCAAGAACCUGAGUUCCUCAAUCUUGGGCAGUAAACUUCGAGCAUUAAGAUGUACCAUGGUCAGUAAGUUUUUCGAGUUUGGGUUCAGCGACAGUUCCGUCAUGUCUGAAGCAGUAUCAGGGUGCACAUUUUGUUGUGUGGGAUCCAUAGGUGGGUUAAUAUAGGUGGAUCCGGUUGUUACAGUGUCUGUGCCUACUUGCAAGGAAAAAGCGACGAUGAGAAAUAACCAAAUCGUUGUCAAAGAAUUGUCGAACAUAAUGUCAGUUACUUAGAACCCUUCCUACCUUUCUUCCGUGAGGAAGAUGAAGGGACAACUUUAUAAACAUAAUAAUUCAACCUAAACACCGAACAAUUUAUACACAUUAAAAAUUAACUGACAAUGUACACAUCAAUUAACAAAGAUAUUACUUUUAUUCUGUCAUCUCUGCAGUUGCAUUACAAUCCUUUUUUUCAUAUAUACUGGGCAACUUACCAUUGAGCAUUCCGGCUCUACAACGAGAGAGGUCGUGACAAUUAUACGUGCCGUUAAAGGACAGAGUAUUCCUCCUAACAAUAACAACGGGGUGCUGAAAAAGAUUGGUGACCCAACAUGUGUCUGUAAUAGAAGAAUACGUGAAACUGUACAAACAUCUUAUGAAUGGAUCAUGGACCAAGCAGACAGAAGGGAAAGUAUAAAGCGAUUUCAGAGGCGGAAAUUAUGCAUGGACGAUGUUUACAACUUUGUCGACGGCAAAUCACCUAUAAGCUACCCAGCGCAUGGUCUCUACGUAAGGCCGCUACGAGCUGUUUUGAUUAAAGGUUUGCGAAUAGAGUGGUUCUAUCAUCGAUUGGACAAUGAAGAUAUCGAGGAAAAGGU